rnacentral:lncRNA from 1 species
GUGUUGGUGUACGAGGCGCGUUUAUGAUUUUCAUUAUGUUACUUGAUAUGAAAAAUUGACAAAAAAUAAUAUUUUACUUGUAAGAGUAAAUCCUGAGCCUGUAAUAGCUGCUCUUCUUGUUCCAUUUGAAUUAAUAGAAACAACGCUGUCGCCUUUCUUGUUCUCAUAGAAUCAUAUGAUAUGAGCUCCAUGUUUUGUGAACGUCUUUCUUAAGUGUCGUAUUAGACUGACCAGUGC